CAGACAGGUUUCAUGAAAGCCGCUGCUUGUAUCAUGUGAAUCUGAAAUUAGGUUUCUUCUUUUAUUUUGUAUUGACACUUCUUGGUACUUGCUAUGGAUGGACGUGCUGGUCACACUCCUGUGGUUUUAUUUUUUUGGCUUUCCCUAAAAUACUUUUCUUUGCAGCAUUUCUUCUACUUUUAUCCUUCUGGGUUGAUCUUUGCCAUCAGCCAGAUGAUGACGAUGAUUAUGAAGGAAGCUUUUCUGAGGAAACUUUACUAAGAAAGUCCUUUAAUGAUUGUACUUUAGCAGGCAGAGCAAGCCAUAGAAAAUGGUUUCCCUUCGGUUGUCUCAUGUUGGUAAUCGGCAGAAGAUUGUACUUUUGGUUACACUUCUAGUUUUUGUCAUCAUGCUGGUGGCUGUAAUAAUAUGGAUUGGAUUAGGGAAGAAUCCCAUUGAUUCAGCAGUGGCUGCUCG